rnacentral:rRNA from 1 species
ACACCUCGCUUUGGAGCGGUUGGCGUCGCCCGCCGGACGAACCUUCUGAACUUUUCUCAAGGUUGACCUCGGAUCAGGUAGGGAUACCCGCUGAACUUAAGCAUAUCA